rnacentral:lncRNA from 13 species
AACACUUUUGGAGGACUGGGUGAAGUUCAGGAUCCUGAAGCCCUACUUUUGGUUGCCCAGUGUUCCUUCUAACAGUAAGGCCCCUCUGCUGCAGGACUGCUGGAUGUCCACUUCAGACACUGCUUUCCUGGGAAUCACCUGUGGGGCUACAGAACAAUGGACUCUUGCUCUGUCACCCAGGCUGGAGUGCAAUCUGGGCUCGCUGCAACCUCCACCUCCUGGGUUCAAAUGAUUCUCCUGCCUCAGCCUCUUGAGUAGCUGAGACUACAGGCUGAACCUGGAGCAGAAUAGGCCAAACCAAGAUUGAAAGGAAGAUGGGAAGGAACAGACACAGUAAGUGUAUGUGUGUAUGUGC